CUUCCAGUGAUGUUGUAGCUGGAUCCGAUUAAGUACAGGAAAUAUUUGUUCUUAGAGUAAUCUAGGUGUAUUAUUUUGAAAUUCACUACUCCUGCUCACAAUUCACCUAAGCUUGGGAGGACUCUGAAGGGAGGUUAUCUUUUCAUUAUAAACACUGGUUAGCCUUAUGUCUACAGGAAAUCAUUAUUUCCUCUUUGGUGCUGGGUGCUACUUUUUUUUUAACAAAUUUUUUAUUUGUAUUUUUUAUUUCUUGAGACAGCAUCUCACUCUGGUUGUCAAGACUGGAGUGCAGUGGUGUGAUCUUGGUUCACUGCAGCCUCAACCUCCCAGGCUCAGUUGAUUCUCCCACCUCAGCCUCCCGAGUAGCUGGGACUAUAGGCGCAUGCCAGCACACCCGGCUAAUUUUUUGUAUUUUUAGUAGAGACAAGGUUUUGC
rnacentral:lncRNA from 10 species